CUUAAUGCAAACAGUGGAUGCCUAGGCAUAAGUUGCUGAUGAAGGACGCGUAAGGCUGCGAUAAGCGCCGGGGAGCUGCCACAAAGCUUUGAUCCGACGAUUUCCAAAUGGGAGAACCCAGUCCCGCUUUGCGGGACUAUUUACACCCCAAGUUUUUCUAUUUAAUAGUAAAUAUUAAGGUGUAGAAAGGUACCUGAGGAACUGAAACAUCUAAGUACUCAGUGGAAAAUAAAUCAAAAGAGAUUGCCUUAGUAGCGGCGAGCGAAACGGCAAGAGCCCAAAUCCCUCAUCAUAUUCUUCGGAAUAUGGUGAGAGGAGGUUGUAGGACCUCAAUGUGGGAGUUUGAAGGGUAGUAGAAAUUGCUGGAAUGCAAUACCAAAGAAAGUAAUAGUCUUGUACACAAAACCCUGAUAACCCCUAGAGGUAUCCUGAGUACCACGGUCGACAUCUCCGUGGGAAUCUGGGGGAACCAUCCUCCAAGGCUAAAUACAACUUAUGACCGAUAGUGAACUAGUACCGUGAGGGAAAGGUGAAAAGAAGGCCGAGAGGGCCAGUGAAAUAGUACCUGAAACUGUUUGCAAACAAACCGGUAAAGCCCCUCACCAUUUCUGUUUAAUAGAUAUACUUAAAUUGUGUUUUAUAUAUAUCUUCUAAAAUCUUUAAAAACUCAAAAGAUUUAUAUUGGUUAUACCAAUAAUUUGAGAAGAAGAUUUGAACAGCAUAAUAAUGGUGAGAAUAAAUCAACCAAAUUUCAGAAACCUUGGAAGCUAAUAUAUUACGAAGCUUUUUUAUCAAAAUCUGACGCGAUGACACGAGAGAAAAAAUUGAAACAUCAUGCGAGAGGAUUAAUUGAAUUAAAAAAAAGAAUAAUUUCAAGUUUAGACGGAAAUGGUGAGGGGUAAUACCGUGCCUAUUGAAGAAUGAGCCAGCGAGUUUUCGUUAUCUGCAAGUCUAACCCCGAGCGGGGGUAGGCGCAGGGAAACCGAGUGUUAAAAGCGCGUUUAAGCAGCUAGCGAAAGACCCGAAACUAGGCGAGCUAACCAUGAGCAGGGUGAACUCCGAUGAAAAUCGGAGGGAGGCCCGAACCCGUGUACGAUGUAAUGUGCUGGGAUGACUUGUGGUUAGAUUGUAAAAUGCUAAUCGAGCCUAGAGAUAGCUGGUUCUCCCCGAAAGGUGUAUAGGCACCGUGCUUUGUAAAAACGCGUCAGGGGUAGAGCUACUGACUGGUCUCGCGAGCGAAAGCCAGCGAGAUCAACCAAACUCCGAAUACUGACGUGGACGCAAAGUAAACAGUCUUAUGGGGCUAAGCUCAUAGGACGAAAGGGAAACAACCCAGACUCUCAGCUAAGGUCUCUAAAUUCAUCUUAAGUUUUAAAGGAAGUCUCAUUCCGCAGACAGCCAGGAGGUUGGCUUAGAAGCAGCCAUCCUUCAAAGAAAGCGUAACAGCUCACUGGUCAAUGGAGUGAGGCGCCUAAAAUUCAUCGAGGAUUAAAGAUGGUACCGAAGCUAGAGAUUCCCGAUUUUAUCGGGAGUGGUAGGGGAGCGUUCCAAUUGCUGUGAAGUUUAAUUGUAAAGUUAGGUGGAGCGAUUGGAAGUGAGAAUGCUGGCAUAAGUAGCGAGCAAGUCCGAUGCGAAUUCGGACCGCCGUAAGCCCAAGGUUUCCCCGGCAACGUUCGUCGUCCGGGGGUUAGUCGGUUCCUAAGGCGAGGCCAAUUGGCGUAGUCGAUGGACAGUCCGUUAAUAUUCGGACACUUGGUAUUGGUUGUUUUAGCUUGAGGAUUAACUGAAUUGGAAGAUUGAAGCCCUUUAUUGAAUUAGGGUGCAAGCUAUUAGUCAGCUUUUGUUGGAAAAUCCGCAAGAGCGUUUAAACGAGUAGUUAUGCAGAGUUCUGAGAGAUCAGGGCAAUUUUGAACCUUUCAGUUUACAAGAAAAGGUUCGCAAGCAAAACCAAUAUUAAGCCGUACCGCAAACCAACACAGGUGGGCAGGUUGAGUAGACUAAGGCGAGCGAGAGAAGGAUGUUUAAGGAACUCGGCAAGACAGCUCCUCGUAACUUCGGGAGAUGAGGUGCCCCUCCGAUGAGGUGGGGUCGCAGCGAAGGAGUACUGGUCGACUGUUUAUCAAAAACACAGGUCCAUGCGAAACCGCAAGGUGAAGUAUAUGGGCCGAUGCCUGCCCAGUGCCGGUAAGUUAAGGGGAUCGGUGGUCCGAUGUUACAUCGGACUGCUGUGAACCGAAGCUCCGGUAAACGGCAGCAGUAACUAUAACUGUUCUACGGUAGCGAAGUUCCUUGUCACUUAAUUAGUGACCCGCACGAAUGGCAUCACGAGCCAGUAACUGUCUUAAACAUCCGCUCGGCGAAAUUGCGAUGGCCGUGAAGACGCGGCCUACACACACCGACACAAAGGUUGGCUUACCACGGAUGGAAAUCGUGGUGAAAGCGUAAAGGUAUAAGCCAGCUUGACUGCGACACGUACUUGUGGAGCAGGUGGGAAACCAGGUCUUAAUGAUCCUCCGAUCCUCAAUGGGUGGGGACGGAGCUUAAUGGAUAAAAGCUACUCCGGGGAUAACAGAGUAGUCGCCUCCGAGAGUCCAUAUCGACGAGGCGGAUCGCUACCUCGAUGUCGGCUCAGCGCAUCCUGGGGCUGAAGAAGGUCCCAAGGGUUGGUCUGUUCGCCCAUUAAAGCGCUACGUGAGCUGGGUUCAGAACGUCGCAAGACAGUUCGGACUCUAUCCGGUGUGUGCGUGUGAGUUUUGAGGAGAGCUAACCUCAGUACGAGAGGACCAGGUUGGGGGAAUCCCUAGUGUGCCGGUUGUGGCGUCAGCCGCAACGCCGGGUAGCUACAUUCCUAAGGGAUAACCGCUGAAAGCAUCUAAGCGGGAAGCCCACUCCAAGAUAAGAACUCAUAGACUCCUGGAAGACUACCAGGUUGAUCGGCAGGCAGUAGUAGGCCCGUAAGGGCUUAAGCUUACCAUGCACGAAUAAGUCGUUAGGCUU
rnacentral:rRNA from 1 species